CGCGUGGCAGCGUGAUUCGUGGCAAGCAGCAGCAGCAGCAUUCCACCCCCUCUGCAGAGGAAGGCCAUUCAUCAGCCGCGUGGCAAGCGUGCUACGCUACGGACCUGGAUCCCCUGAGUUCAAUUCCAGACCACGGCGAACAUCAGUGCAUUUAGGAAAAACGAGUGGGCUUGGACAGGAGACGUCAUAGCUGCACGGGAUGAUUGCAUCUGGUCAAUACAAGAACGGAAUAGCAGCCGAGGAAUGCAACGCGCGCGAGAGACGGAGCGACGGUGCAAGCCAUCCCGGGCCCUCGCGGCCCUUCCCGUGGGGCCCCCGCCCGCCCUCCUCGCCUGCCGGCCAUCCCGGGGAAGCGCGCCUCUGCCAAGGGAGGGAGAGGAGCGGAAAGAGAGAGCUUGUGAUAGAGAGAGAGAAUCAAGGCGGUGUCGCUAUGAAUGGCGAUGUGGGGAGACACGGGGUGGAGGCGCGGCGAAGAGAAGGGAGAUUUCGCCUCAUUAACGGAGGUGCCUUGAAGAUUAAACACAGUGUCUGUGUGUCUCUGUGUGUGUGUGUCUAUCUGCGUGUAUGUCUGUGUGUGUCUCCGCGUGUAUGUGUGCACCACCCUGCGUGUACGACUGUGUGUGUACAGUAUGUCUGUCUUUGUGUGGGUGAUUUGUUUCUAGAAGUGUAUAUCUGUUGUUGUGUGUAAUUGCGUCAGCGUGUGUGUAACUAUUGAUGGUAAGUGUUCGCUAACAGAGACCUUCUUCGUCUUUGUAGGGUGCAGUGUGGGGAGCGGUGGCGCAGCCGUUAGCGUACUGCGCUGUCAACAGGCGACCCGAGCUCGAUUCUCACUCACAACCAACAACAGUGGAGAUUUUUUAAACAGUUUCUGAGCCUCCCCUAGGUUGACUCAGCCCUAAAUGAGUACAUGGGGCGUGGAUAAACUUCAGCACUGGGAAGCAAAAGUGGACGGUCUCCCCACUCCUUUCGUGCUUGCCUUAAUAGGCGCUCGCUAACU